GGCUUUGUAGUUCAAUGGAUAGAACAAAGGUUUCCUAAACCUUAGAUUUGGGUUCGAUUCCCAGCGGAGCUA
rnacentral:tRNA from 1 species